rnacentral:lncRNA from 1 species
GAAAACUAAAAUUAAAGGGACAGAAUAGAAGGAGAUAAUGGCCAGACUGGAUAAGAGUACACCACUGCAUUCCCGCAUAGGCUACGUUUCCCUUGGGAACAAUGGGUCCUGGUUGCUGUGGGUUUGGUGCAACAUGGCAGUCCGCAUCUCACACCAGAUCCUCUGGGAAAGAAAAGAACAGUGAACAGUUCUAAUUUUUUUCUCUUUGAAAAGGCUUGUGUUUGAUUUGAACUAUAUUUGUAUGAAUAUAAUAAACACAAGUUGAUGUGAAAAGAUAUUUCUCUUUUAUAGAAUGUUCAUGUUCAUAGGGUAAGUUGCAGAUCAAAAUAUGCAGGUGAAUUAAUUUGUUAUUUAUGAUUGGGCAUAAUUUUAGUUCUUUGGGAAUAUUGAUUUUUUAAAUUUGCAACCAUUUAAACAUGUAUUUGUGUCACCAAUCAUAUGCAUAAUUUAAAACACUG